CAGUCGUACUUAUGGGUAAUCAGCCUUUUGGGUGUGAUUUUGUGGAGUGUGAGGAGUUAAACGCCUUCAUGCCUGCAUAUCCGUGCACUUUGGGUGUACUUGCCCGUGUGUAAGUUAACAUCAAUUUUGAUUAUCAUAAAAUGAUUGAAGGAAUGUAGCUUCGAUCUCGUAUCGAAGUGUUAUAGACUCUGGUAGAUGUGACGAUUGGGAUUGAGGAUUGCAACGGAUACCCC
rnacentral:rRNA from 1 species